rnacentral:rRNA from 1 species
GAUGAACGCUGGCGGCGUGCCUAAUACAUGCAAGUCGAGCGAACAGAUGAGGAGCUUGCUCCUCUGACGUUAGCGGCGGACGGGUGAGUAACACGUGGAUAACCUACCUAUAAGACUGGGAUAACUUCGGGAAACCUGAGCUAAUACCGGAUAAUAUAUUGAACCGCAUGGUUCAAUAGUGAAAGACGGUUUUGCUGUCACUUAUAGAUGGAUCCGCGCCGCAUUAGCUAGUUGGUAAGGUAACGGCUUACCAAGGCAACGAUGCGUAGCCGACCUGAGAGGGUGAUCGGCCACACUGGAACUGAGACACGGUCCAGACUCCUACGGGAGGCAGCAGUAGGGAAUCUUCCGCAAUGGGCGAAAGCCUGACGGAGCAACGCCGCGUGAGUGAUGAAGGUCUUCGGAUCGUAAAACUCUGUUAUUAGGGAAGAACAAAUGUGUAAGUAACUAUGCACGUCUUGACGGUACCUAAUCAGAAAGCAACGGCUAACUACGUG